UCGUUUUGACUUGUUGUAAUAGUCUGCAGUGCGCUGUUGUGCGGAGUCCAGACAGGCCUUAGCAUCGGUCAGACGGGAUAUGAAUGACUUGGCAAAGAUUUUAGCCACGGGUACAUUAAUAUCAAGUUCACGCCACACAGGCUUAACAGGAUUGUAACCCUAAAACCCAUAAUUCAGAAAGAACCGGCUUUGGCCGGUCAAACGGUUAAGGUGUUAUUUAUUGCGAACUCAGCCACCAUCAAGUAAGUAUCCAAAGCAGACGGCGUACAACCUGCGAAAUUACGCAUCAUAUGGCCUAGGGUCCUAUUGGUACGCUCAGUCUGACCGUCAGACUGGGCAUGGUAAGCAGUUGAAAGGUUCACCUGCAUGCCUACCAACUUCCCCAGGGUGUCCCAAAUUCACUGAUAAAUUGACUACUGUUGUAUCCACUUCCACUGUUUAGGUGGUAGUGAAAACUACCGAUUAGUGAAUGAAGGGAGGCUAAGUGCCUCAGCGGUAAUGACGACUUGUACAGCAAUCUGUACGAUCCAAGAAUAUAGUCGUCACCGCGAAUUAUCACCAAUCGGUGCAAUCGUAACCCAAGUGGGUCUACCAGUGACAAGUGUCACGAUUAUAGCAAGAGUGCUAUAACCCAGUAUCACACGUGAUAAAAGAUAGGCAAGUGCCCAAUGGUUAACCAAGUAAGAGCGAAGAUAAUGCCAAGUGGUGAAGUGCCAGAGUAUCGGGGAAAAUCCGAAGGUAAAUAAGCAAGUAUGCCACAACAACUAUCCCCCCUCUGGACGCAGCAUCCUC
rnacentral:lncRNA from 1 species